AUGAUGCAGUUCUGUGGGAACAUUCGGAAGAAAGAAAAACAUGCUGAGCAUGUACAGCAAAAAUUUCAAGGUAUGCAGAUGAAGUGAUUGGGAUGACCACAUACUUAUAUAACAAGUGGAAGAGAUGACUUUUUUCUCCUAUAAACUUUCCUGGCAGAGACAACUAUAUAUCCGCCCAACUGAAAUUCUUCUGAGUGUGUCACUAAGUAGGACUACAUGUGACGCCUGCGCUUGACGGGGAGGAGACUGAUGUGAGGCUAGUAAUAAGAGGGACAGUCAUUCCUGAAUGUCUUUCAGUGGGGUCAGAGGUUAAAGGCUUAUCACCAAGUUGGCAACAUAAGCCUGCUUCCUCUGCAAAAAUACUUGCAAGUACCUUCCCUGCUUACUUCUAGAUGCAAUUAAUCUCAUAUUGGUGAUCUAUCCAAACAAAGGAAUGAUGACAUACUGUAUUUGAAAUCUACUUCUUAGGUAAAUAGUGCAUUUCAGUGACUAUUCUAUUCAGUCCAUUU